rnacentral:rRNA from 1 species
GAUGAACGCUGGCGGCGUGCCUAAUACAUGCAAGUCGAGCGAACAGAUGAGGAGCUUGCUCCUCUGACGUUAGCGGCGGACGGGUGAGUAACACGUGGAUAACCUACCUAUAAGACUGGGAUAACUACGGGAAACCGGAGCUAAUACCGGAUAAUAUAUUGAACCGCAUGGUUCAAUAGUGAAAGUCGGUUUUGCUGUCACUUAUAGAUGGAUCCGCGCCGCAUUAGCUAGUUGGUAAGGUAACGGCUUACCAAGGCAACGAUGCGUAGCCGACCGGAGAGGGUGAGCGGCCACACGGGAACUGAGACACGGUCCAGACUCCUACGGGAGGCAGCAGUAGGGAAUCUUCCGCAAUGGGCGAAAGCCUGACGGAGCAACGCCGCGUGAGGGAUGAAGGUCUUCUGAUCGUAAAACUCUGUUAUGAGGGAAGAACAAAUGUGUAAGUAACUAUGCACGUCUUGACGGUACCUAAUCAGAAAGCCACGGCUAACUACGUG